GACGAAACGCUGGCGGCGUGCCUAACACAUGCAAGUCGAGCGAAGUGCUUUAAAGCGGAAUCUUCGGAGGAAGCUUAAAAGUAUCUUAGCGGCGGACGGGUGAGUAAUGCGUGAGGAACCUGCCUUUCACAAGGGGAUAGCCUCGGGAAACUGGGAUUAAUACCCUAUGACACCUAAGUAUCGCAUGAUACUUAGGUUAAAGCGCAAAGCGGUGGAAGAUGGCCUCACGUCCCAUUAGCUAGUUGGUGAGGUAAAGGGCUCACCAAGGCAACGAUGGGUAGCCGGCCUGAGAGGGUGACCGGCCACACUGGGACUGAGACACGGCCCAGACUCCUACGGGAGGCAGCAGUAGGGAAUAUUGCGCAAUGGACGGAAGUCUGACGCAGCGACGCCGCGUGAGUGAUGAAGGUCUUCGGAUCGUAAAGCUCUGUCCUUGGGGAAGAAGGCGAAAGCUUGACGGUACCCAAGAAGAAAGCCCCGGCUAACUACGUGCCAGCAGCCGCGGUAAUA
rnacentral:rRNA from 1 species